rnacentral:rRNA from 1 species
AACGAACGCUGGCGGCAUGCCUAACACAUGCAAGUCGAACGAGACCUUCGGGUCUAGUGGCGCACGGGUGCGUAACGCGUGGGAACCUGCCCUUAGGUUCGGAAUAACUCCCCGAAAGGGGUGCUAAUACCGGAUAAUGUCUUCGGACCAAAGAUUUAUCGCCUUUGGAUGGGCCCGCGUUGGAUUAGCUAGUUGGUAGGGUAAAAGCCUACCAAGGCGACGAUCCAUAGCUGGUCUGAGAGGAUGAUCAGCCACACUGGGAAUGAGACACGGCCCAGAAUCCGACGGGAAGGAGCAGUGGGGAAUAUUGGACAAUGGGCGAAAGCCUGAUCCAGCAAUGCCGCGUGAGUGAUGAAGGCCUUAGGGUUGUAAAGCUCUUUUACCCGGGAUGAUAAUGACAGUACCGGGAGAAUAAGCUCCGGCUAACUACGUG